AUCUAUAGCCAUACCACCCUGAUUACACCCAAUCUUGUGUGACGUUGGAAGCUAAGCAGAGUGGGGGAUUGUUAUUACUUGGAGGAGAGAAUCAAUUCCAGGAUAAAGACC
ensembl:rRNA 5S_rRNA 5S ribosomal RNA